GCAUCUGUGCAAGAACUGUGUCCUGCAGCACUGUAGCAGUGGGAGCCUUGUUGCCAACACCAUUCAGUGAAGAAAGGGAGGAAGCAAGGCUGCUUUGAGUGGAGUUUUCUGGAAUAUACCUGAACAAUCUGCUGGAGAGGAAGGGAAGUCACAGAGACAAACAAACUAUGUCAAAUAUGGUUGGGAAGAUGAUCAGCUGCAGCAAGAGACCAAGAAACAGUUGUGAGAAGACACAGAACACGGUGAGAAGGCAAGAAGUUGCAAGAAGUGUGAAUAGAAGAGACUGCCAUAGAUGCACAUCUGAAAUGAAGAAUGAGACACCGUGUGUACCCCAGAUAAGGCAGCGGAAUGGAAACCAUCCGUGAGAGGAGCUGCAGAGCGAGGUCUGAAAUGGAAAAGUUCCCAGGGUGAAUGAGCAAGCACGAUGGGAAUCGACUCGUGUUUGUUGUGGGCAUUUGGGAAUGCUGCAGCUUAUUUCAUUGCUGGGCAAGGGAGGGCAUGGCAUGGAAUGAGAAAGAGCAGCAGUCGUGACAGCAGUAUGACUGGUUGUAGUGGAGUAUAAAUCAGGGCACUUCACUCUGUCAUUCCAUUCAGGGCAUCAUAAAAGUAACACCUGUCAUCUGGAAAAAAUCUAAACUCAGAGAAUAAUAUAAUGCAUUUUGCAUGAAUGUAUAAAAUCCUACAGUACCAGAAAAAUAAAACACUUAGAAAUGGAGUCUUUAUACUAAGGGGUGACAUCUGCAAAUAUAUUCUACCAUCAAUACUAUGUGACUUGAUUUAUGGCUUAAACUAUUCUAUGGGGAGAAAAAAAGUAGCAGUAUAGAUUCUAUUAUAGCUCUAAAAAAUAACUUUUUAGGCCAUGAUACUAAUCUCUUUGAUCCACACCACUUAAUGUAUUGGAAAGCAAAAGAGCUUCCCUUAUUUCUCCUUUGGCUGCAAAGUGGACUGCAAACAGCCUUCAGGGAAUUGUAGAUUCAGUUACAUCUUCAACAAGAGAACCUAAUGGGCAGUGUUUAAAGACUGAUUGAUAGGCAUCAUCUCUUGAUGAUCAUAGCAGAACUUUUUAAGCUGCUGAUUGCAAGCACAGACAUUCUGGAAAGCAAAAUUUAUGCCUGCCAGGCUUUUUGCCGUGUUUUGUCUCCUCUGUUCUUUCCUCCCUUCAAACCAGAUUUCAGCAGUCAGACCUGGAAGUCAGUAACAAUGGCCAAAAAAUCCCUGUGAAAGACUAUUAUCAGCCAUGCAAGUUUCAAAUAUUUUUCUUUGGUAAAUGGUCUGAAAGACAGAAAUUUCAGAUUAAAUAGAAGAUAAGUUUGUCCUAAAGCUCUAGAAAAGGUAAAACUUUUCCACAUUGGAAGCUUUAGGAGCUAUAGGAAGUUCAGAAGGUGGGUUCCUAAUUAUUUAUUCAUAAUGAGUCAGUUCUGUCAUAUACCACUGUCACAACAUUUCCACGUGCUCUGGGUAUGUACAAGAUGGAAAAUUAGUUGUUUUCAGGAGGUCAUGAAAUUUCUAUUGUCUUAUUAUAAAGGGCUGUGAAGCGUAGAUUUUUUUAAUCCAGGAUCAGUGUUGCCAAUGUCUGAUGAAACUGAGACAUCAGCCACAUUUCCCUUUUUAUUUCUUGCCUUCUGAGGUGGCAGCUUGGUGCUACCUGUGAAGCAGCUGUGGAAACACUCAGCUGCCUGACCCAAGGUGUCAGUGUAAGGGAGCUCAGACCCUCCCAGGGUGCAAAACUGGAGCACCCUGAGUCUGCUGCUCUCAAUAAACUGAGCUACUGUGCUACCCCUCAGAGUGAUGAAGGAGAAAGUAUUAUCAGAGGUCUGAGUGAAGAACCUCAACACUGCUGCCUUCUUUUCUCACACAACCCCAAUAAAUAAACCAAUAAAUAAGGCCCAUAUGCUAACAUUGGAUCUCUGCACCAUGGCAACUGGGUUCCAUAUUUGUGAGCUGGUGGGCAGAGCACUGCAGAGAUCCCUCAGGCCAUCUAAUUCAUUUGGGGCUCCUUGGUCCCAGUCAUCAUUCCCACUAAUGUGUACAAACCACAGAUCUGGUCUGGAGUGUUUUUCUGACUGCUCCUUCUCUAUUGCA